CGUCAGAGUAAAGAGCUCGGCCUCCGGUAUUGGCCCUCAGAUACGUCAAUUGAGCUUUUAGAAAUAUGUACUAUUGUAUCAUCUAUAAUCAUGUUCCAAGAAAAACAACCAAUGUUUGUCCCCAUUUUAUUACUUUUCUCGCCAAAAGUGCACCUAGUGGCAUUCUUGUGCCACUAUCAUUUCCAUCUCCAAUAAAUGAUUCAAAAACCCAAACACAUUGCACCUUGAUGAUAGUAUUUGCACAUCUGGGAUGAAGACUAUCAAUCUAAGUAAUGAAAGGUGUCAUUACUUCACUUAGUGCCUCUAUACAAUGAGUCAUUUAUUUAAACAAAAUGUUGUAGAUAAUGAAAUUAUCUUCUUUGUGCAGGAAAUGAUAUCAAUUUACAAAAAGUAUUGCAGCAUUGUGAUCUACACGUACGGAAAAUCAAAAGUUGCAGAGAAAGAACCAUUAUAGCAUAGCAAAGAGAGCUUGCUGAGUGAUUAUGAAGGGUUAGGGCAGGGUAUUUAAAGAACACAACUGGAGAGCAUGCUGGUUAAUAAAUGUGCAGGUUCCCAAAAACGCACAAUCAUGAGAACCUUUACAGAGGACUUUUACAUCUCUGGGGAGAACUAUGCAGGUAGUAGUGACCACAUACCAUACAUGCGCCAUUGCCAACAUUUAACUGACAAUCUUCAACCUUGACUCAACCUUGAAUGUUGCUUCAGUUUUUUUUGUAGACAAUCACAUUAAUGGAUUGCAAGUAGAAGUGAAAGAAAAAGAACAAAGAUUGCGUAGAAACUGAAAAAACAGG